AUGACUAAUCCCUCCUUGUACUCUCCUUUUCCGAUCAACUACCCCCAUCUACAGACUCAACUCGCGGCGACCUUAUCUUCUCCCUCAAACGGUCGCGACGACUUCUCCUCUUCUCACCUUCUUUUCUCACAUUACUCCAAUCAUUCGUCCUCAACCUCUUCGACGAAUCAUCAACAUCACACCUCAACACCACACCGUUGUUCUUAUUCAUCUCUACUCACAAGGUUUGCUCGCAAUCAAACAUCAAAACAUCAAGCGCAUAGAUGA